CCUACGGGAGGCAGCAGUGGGGAAUAUUGCACAAUGGGGGAAACCCUGAUGCAGCAACGCCGCGUGAGUGAGGAAGUAUUUCGGUAUGUAAAGCCCUAUCAGCAGGGAAUAGAAAAGAAGGUACCUGAAAAAGAAGCCCCGGCUAACUACGUGCCAGCAGCCGCGGUAAUACGGAGGGGGCAAGCGUUAUACGGAUUUACUGGGUGUAAAGCGCUCGUAGGCGGUAUGUCAAGUCAAGGGUGAAAACCCCGAGUUCAAAGUGGGAACUGCCUUUGAAACUGGCAAACUGGAGUGUGUGAGAGGAUAGUGGAAUGCCAGGUGUAGGAGUGAAAUCCGUAGAUAUCUGGAGGAACAUCAGUGGCGAAGGCGACUAUCUGGCACAUAACUGACGCUGAGGAGCGAAAGCGUGGGUAGCAAACAGGAUUAGAUACCCCGGUAGUC
rnacentral:rRNA from 1 species